GACGAACGCUGGCGGCGUGCUUAACACAUGCAAGUCGAACGGAAAGGCCCUGCUUUUGUGGGGUGCUCGAGUGGCGAACGGGUGAGUAACACGUGAGUAACCUGCCCUUGACUUUGGGAUAACUUCAGGAAACUGGGGCUAAUACCGGAUAGGAGCUCCUGCUGCAUGGUGGGGGUUGGAAAGUUUCGGCGGUUGGGGAUGGACUCGCGGCUUGUCAGCUUGUUGGUGGGGUAGUGGCUUACCAAGGCUUUGACGGGUAGCCGGCCUGAGAGGGUGACCGGUCACAUUGGGACUGAGAUACGGCCCAGACUCCUACGGGAGGCAGCAGUGGGGAAUAUUGCAAAAUGGGCGGAAGCCUGAUGCAGCAACGCCGCGUGCGGGAUGACGGCCUUCGGGUUGUAAACCGCUUUCGCCUGUGACGAAGCGUGAGUGACGGUAAUGGGUAAAGAAGCACCGGCUAACUACGUG
rnacentral:rRNA from 1 species